rnacentral:lncRNA from 1 species
AUACAUAUACAUUACUGCAAAAGAAAGGGGGGAAACAUAAGAACUGUUCUGCACUAUGAUUAAGGAUGAAAAAAUUUGUAUAACUUAAUUAUACAUAUUCAAGAUCUGCAAAAGACAGAGAGAUUAAUCAGUUGUGGAGGGGGUCUGGUCCGCCUGGAACUGCUCGAUAUGAAACUUCAUAAAUUGGUUGACCCUUUUCUGCAACAGAUGGCCGUGGGAAAUGCUGCUCCGCCGCGGCCAUGGGUGUUGGUUCUUGAGGUUUUAGAGUUUUAAGGGUGUGGCGGCGGCAACUUGAGAGGUUGAUGUUGGAAAGGAUGAUGGUGAAGAAGAUGAAUAAGAAUUUGGGAGUAGAAAUGAUGAUCAUGAUUUUUGAUGACGAAACGAAGAAAAUGCAAAGAUGGUUAAUGGAAAUUGGGUUUUAAAGAAAAGAGGUUGUUAAUAG